rnacentral:rRNA from 1 species
AAAUUGAAGAGUUUGAUCAUGGCUCAGAUUGAACGCUGGCGGCAGGCCUAACACAUGCAAGUCGAGCGGAAACGAGUUAUCUGAACCUUCGGGGAACGAUAACGGCGUCGAGCGGCGGACGGGUGAGUAAUGCCUAGGAAAUUGCCCUGAUGUGGGGGAUAACCAUUGGAAACGAUGGCUAAUACCGCAUGAUGCCUACGGGCCAAAGAGGGGGACCUUCGGGCCUCUCGCGUCAGGAUAUGCCUAGGUGGGAUUAGCUAGUUGGUGAGGUAAGGGCUCACCAAGGCGACGAUCCCUAGCUGGUCUGAGAGGAUGAUCAGCCACACUGGAACUGAGACACGGUCCAGACUCCUACGGGAGGCAGCAGUGGGGAAUAUUGCACAAUGGGCGCAAGCCUGAUGCAGCCAUGCCGCGUGUAUGAAGAAGGCCUUCGGGUUGUAAAGCACUUUCAG